rnacentral:lncRNA from 1 species
CUGGACCUGGAUCUAUCCCUGGACUUGGAUCUACCCCUGGACUUGGAUCUACCCCUGGACCUGGAUCUAUCCCUGGACUUGGAUCUACCCCUGGACUUGGAUCUACCCCUGGACUUGGAUCUACCCCUGGACUUGGAUCUAUCCCUGGACUUGGAUCUAUCCCUGGACCUGGAUCUAUCCCUGGACCUGGAUCUAUCCCUGGACCUGGAUCUAUCCCUGGACUUGGAUCUAUCCCUGGACUUGGAUCUACCCCUGGACUUGGAUCUACCCCUGGACCUGGAUCUAUCCCUGGACUUG